CGCGGAACUGAGGGCGCCCAGCCUCGGGCCAGCGGCCGCCUCUCUGCGGGCGCCCCGCGCAGGGAAACCUGGCGGGCAGGCGGGCGGGCAGGGAAGGAAGAGGCGGUCCCGGGCUCCCACCGCGGGGCCCCACCGCCCGGCCUUCGCCCGCACCCCCAGGGCAGAAAGCUCAUUCUCAGGCCUCAAACAAAAGCCAGCUCUGAUCUAAGAGGACUGCGGGAAAUGCCCGCGGAACUUCACCAAACACUGGGUUCCCGGAAGGUAUGGAUCGUCCACUCAACGCUGCGAAAUCUGGGCCCCAUCACAUGACUUACUCCAGGAAGUGGGACACAAGCAAGCAUGAUGCGGGCAGAGGUUUCAUAACCUCUUCUCUGAGGCCUCUCUCUCAUCUUUUUCUGUUAGUUUUAAUUUUUGUUUCCUGAUACAGGGUCACAUUAUGUAGUUCAGGCUGGGCUCGAACUCACUAUGUAGCCCAGGCUGGCCUCGAACUAUCGGCGAUCCUCCUCCCUCAGCCUCCUGAGUGUUGGAAUUACAAGUAUGUACCAUCAUGUAUGCCUGGCUCCUUCACCCUUUUGAAACUCAUAUUCCAAGUUGUGAAGAAAUCUAACAACCAUAGGAGCACGGAGUAGGUGUGAUGAUUCAGGUAUGAGGUGCUGCAGAGCUAUUUUUUAUCCCUAUGGGUCCAGGAGGUCUCUGUGUGGGCUCCAGGGCUGAGGGGCUGGCACAGUGGGUUGGGAGUGCCAUCCCAUGCCGCUCCCACUCCCUUGGGUGUCUUGUGAGUCUCCUUGGGAGCUGCUGCCUGAGUGGAAAUGCAUAGUGGUGAAGAAUGUACUGGAUCCCUGGUCCUCGAGGUGAAGCUGGUGGGACCUGUGGAGGCACUGUGGAUGCUGUAUGCACCCCUGGACUUAGUAGUCUCUAGCGAGGUGGAGAUGCCAACACCGUGUGCAGUGCCCUGGAGGCCGUGUUUAUCCAUGGCCUCUGUGCCAAGCACAUGUGCCAAGGCUGGAAGGAAAGUGCCCACCAGAAGCCUCUGUCUCAGCCUGUCUUCUGGCCUUGACUGAAAGCUGUUGCCCACAGGUGAGAUCAGCUGGAGAGGUUUUCCUUAGAGGGGGUGCUUCCAAGUGUGGGACACUUGGCUCUUUCUCUCCAGACACAAUGUGUUCUAGUGAGGGCCACAGAGUUACAGUUAUCAGCGAGGGGCUUAGGUACCGUCCAGUGGACUCAGGAGCUAGACUGCCUGAGUUGUCCAUUCACCACCUUUCUGACCUUGAAAAGUACCCAUCAUUUCUGACCUUGACUCCUUAUUAGUAAAUGAAGAUAUGAAUUCUUCAAACCAAUGAGGAUUAAAUGAGUCAAAAUAUGGAACAUACGUAGAACAAUCUCUUAGGACAUGGGCACAGUAUUGUCAGAAUUCAGCAAAGCCAGAGUAAACUCUGUGUCAACCAAUGGAUGGAGCUAAGAGACAGAUCCCCAAGCUCUGGGUUCUGGAGUUAUGGUAAGCUAAUCUGGAGGUUUGACAAUCACAUUGGGCAAGUUUGAAUAAUACUGAACUUGCUAAUAACCUGGAAGUGUAACUGUUACUUCACAAUGCUCUGAAGACUGAGCUGGUUGUUCCUGCUAGAUUGGAGAAAGUUCUACCUCCCCAGCAUCCUCUGAGGCCAACCUGGAGCUUCCAGGAGAUUCUACUUCCACCCGGAGACUCAGAAGGCUCAGCUGCCUGCUCCUGCUGGCUGGGAGAAGGUUUGGCCUCUACAGGAGGGCCUGGGGGUUUAGCUAGGGCCCCUGGCUAGGCCAGAGAAGAAUCAACCUUCUCAGUAGGCUCUGAAGUCAUAGUAAGCUCCACAUCAUGGGCUGCACUGUAACACUGGACAGAUUCCCCUUACCAGCUGACAGCUCUGCCCAUCCUGAAGGCCUGCCUGUCAGAAUGACUCAUAUCCCCACACCAGAGGAGUCGGAGCCGUGGUUGCCUUGUGCUUCUAGGAUGGAGUUUCUUCUUUUGUCCAUUUACCAUCAAACAUGAUCAUGAGGACACCAAGAGGAGCCCAAAUGGAGCACCAGAUUUGACACAUAUUCUCCGUGGAUUCCAGUGUGUAACAGCAGCCUAGGUGCCCCUGAUGAUCAAGGUCAAAAACGGUGACUCACUCUCUGUAUUGGCC